rnacentral:tRNA from 1 species
GUAAAUAUAGUUUAACAAAAACACUAGAUUGUGAUUCUAGAAAAAGAAGUUAAAAUCUUCUUAUUUACC